AUUCAAAGCUUUGGAUUGUUAAAAAUGGUUUGAGUAAUCUAUAUCAAAUGGUGACGUUAUGUCAAAAUGGACGGAAACGGUUGAAUUAUAUAGGGGUUAAGACUAGUGAGAAACGGUGGAGCUAUAAGGCCACCAUUUGCCGAAUUGUUUGCGCUUCUUCUCACGCAAAUCACUUACACAUGUAUUUUUUUUACCAUAUAUUACCAAUUGAAUACAUUACAGGAAACCGUUACGAGCAACGUUUAUCAUACACGCUUACAAAAAAUCAAUUAGUGGUGUAUAAACGAAUUCAAUGAUUUUUCCAAAUAGCUUGACCGAGCAAGUGCAUAAAAAGUAAACAAUUCUUUAUUAUUGUUUUUUUUUUACUGUGGAAAACAUGUGAAAUAAACACAAACAUUGUUUUGUCAAUCUUGUCCAGUAAAGGUGUUUAAAAAAUUAUGAUUUCUAAAUGUAAAAACUACACCUGCGUGGUGUUUUUUUUAGCGUGUUCCUAAGUCUGCCAAAAACAAAAACAAAAUCUCCUUGGUGCGACGGCCACAAAAUUUUCAUCUCCAGUUGCUGCUAGUUUUGUGCGACCAAAUCUAUGGCAUUAUUCGCAUCAUCCGGUACCGGAUCCAGGAUUGCUGCUGGGUUCGAGAUGCUGCCGCUGAACAAGAAAGCAGCUGGAAAAUCAACCGGCAAAACAUCCAAAGCAGCCGCCACGGAACGAUACAAACAACGUUUCCGUCUACAAAUCUGCAUAGACGACUCGACAGGAUAAAAGACCGAAAUAUGGACAGUUCCAUUCGCCGCCUAGGUAAGCUACAAAUUCGAAUGGAAACUGGAAAAGGACCGAUAAGUGAUACAUUUCAGUCUCCGCAACCAGGGAUCAUUCGGUUUGCAGCUUGAGGAUGGAUACUUACACGAAGUGUUUUAUUUUGUGCAAGGACGGCGUGAAGCUACAGGACAGACAAACUUCUGAUUGUCAAGAGUUUUGGUGUAUUUAUAGUGUUUAUAUUUCGGGGAAUAAAAUAAAAGUGUGUUGAGCAAUUAAUUUAAAACGCACAAUGAAA